UUGACAGGACAUUUGACAGAGGAUUGGCAAUCAUCAAAAUUUUUGUGUUAAAAAUCUUGUUUUAUUUCACAAAAUUUUUAGAAAGAAUCCAAAUGACUGGUUAAAAGUUGAAAUGAUUCAACGAACGAAGAGUUGAAGCAGCAGUAUGGACCACACUGCUGAGACUUACAGAGUAAAGGUCCACCGAGACGAAUCAACUGUGCGAUGCCGAGCCAAGAAUUCCUCCUGCUGUAUGGACGGCUGCCCGAAGCCGAAGAAGAAAAAGGGCUCCAAAUGCAAGACCAAAAAGAACCCAUCGCUGGACACCAUCAAGAAAUCCCUGAGCGUUAACUGCUGUGCAUGUUGUUGUGUGUUAGCAGACUACAUAAAAGAAGCCUGCAAGCUUAUAUGCUCUUGUUUGAACGAAAAACCGACAGAGACCAGAAUCUGCGAGUUGUUCUCCCAAUUGUUGGAACUAUCCUGGUGUCUAGGUUCCGAUUGUUGUCAUUUGAUCAAGCAUUUGUUCAGAUUUUUGUGCGUUUACAAGAAGUGAUUUGGUCUCUCAAACUUUUUGUGGCAAUAAAAGUUUGUGAUGUA